GGGUUGUGAGGUUAAGCGACUAAGCGUACACGGUGGAUGCCCUGGCAGUCAGAGGCGAUGAAGGACGUGCUAAUCUGCGAAAAGCGCCGGCGAGGUGAUAUGAACCUUUGACCCGGCGAUGUCCGAAUGGGGAAACCCAGUGUGAUUCGUCACACUAUCGUUAACUGAAUACAUAGGUUAACGAGGCGAACCGGGGGAACUGAAACAUCUAAGUACCCCGAGGAAAAGAAAUCAACCGAGAUUCCCCCAGUAGCGGCGAGCGAACGGGGAGCAGCCCAGAGUCUGAAUCAGCUUGUGUGUUAGUGGAAGCGUCUGGAAAGUCGCACGGUACAGGGUGACAGUCCCGUACACGAAAACACACAGGUUGUGAACUCGAAGAGUAGGGCGGGACACGUGGUAUCCUGUCUGAAUAUGGGGGGACCAUCCUCCAAGGCUAAAUACUCCUGACUGACCGAUAGUGAACCAGUACCGUGAGGGAAAGGCGAAAAGAACCCCGGCGAGGGGAGUGAAAAAGAACCUGAAACCGUGUACGUACAAGCAGUGGGAGCACCUUCGUGGUGUGACUGCGUACCUUUUGUAUAAUGGGUCAGCGACUUAUAUUCUGUAGCAAGGUUAACCGUAUAGGGGAGCCGAAGGGAAACCGAGUCUUAACUGGGCGUUAAGUUGCAGGGUAUAGACCCGAAACCCGGUGAUCUAGCCAUGGGCAGGUUGAAGGUUGGGUAACACUAACUGGAGGACCGAACCGACUAAUGUUGAAAAAUUAGCGGAUGACUUGUGGCUGGGGGUGAAAGGCCAAUCAAACCGGGAGAUAGCUGGUUCUCCCCGAAAGCUAUUUAGGUAGCGCCUCGUGAACUCAUCUUCGGGGGUAGAGCACUGUUUCGGCUAGGGGGCCAUCCCGGCUUACCAACCCGAUGCAAACUACGAAUACCGAAGAAUGUUAUCACGGGAGACACACGGCGGGUGCUAACGUCCGUCGUGAAGAGGGAAACAACCCAGACCGCCAGCUAAGGUCCCAAAGUCAUGGUUAAGUGGGAAACGAUGUGGGAAGGCACAGACAGCCAGGAUGUUGGCUUAGAAGCAGCCAUCAUUUAAAGAAAGCGUAAUAGCUCACUGGUCGAGUCGGCCUGCGCGGAAGAUGUAACGGGGCUAAACCAUGCACCGAAGCUGCGGCAGCGACACUAUGUGUUGUUGGGUAGGGGAGCGUUCUGUAAGCCGUUGAAGGUGUGCUGUGAGGCAUGCUGGAGGUAUCAGAAGUGCGAAUGCUGACAUAAGUAACGAUAAAGCGGGUGAAAAGCCCGCUCGCCGGAAGACCAAGGGUUCCUGUCCAACGUUAAUCGGGGCAGGGUGAGUCGACCCCUAAGGCGAGGCCGAAAGGCGUAGUCGAUGGGAAACAGGUUAAUAUUCCUGUACUUGGUGUUACUGCGAAGGGGGGACGGAGAAGGCUAUGUUAGCCGGGCGACGGUUGUCCCGGUUUAAGCAUGUAGGCGGAGGUUCCAGGUAAAUCCGGUACCUUAUUAACGCUGAGGUGUGAUGACGAGGCACUACGGUGCUGAAGUAACAAAUGCCCUGCUUCCAGGAAAAGCCUCUAAGCAUCAGGUAACACGAAAUCGUACCCCAAACCGACACAGGUGGUCAGGUAGAGAAUACCAAGGCGCUUGAGAGAACUCGGGUGAAGGAACUAGGCAAAAUGGUGCCGUAACUUCGGGAGAAGGCACGCUGAUAUGUAGGUGAAGCCCCUGCGGGUGGAGCUGAAAUCAGUCGAAGAUACCAGCUGGCUGCAACUGUUUAUUAAAAACACAGCACUGUGCAAACACGAAAGUGGACGUAUACGGUGUGACGCCUGCCCGGUGCCGGAAGGUUAAUUGAUGGGGUUAGCGGCAACGCGAAGCUCUUGAUCGAAGCCCCGGUAAACGGCGGCCGUAACUAUAACGGUCCUAAGGUAGCGAAAUUCCUUGUCGGGUAAGUUCCGACCUGCACGAAUGGCGUAAUGAUGGCCAGGCUGUCUCCACCCGAGACUCAGUGAAAUUGAACUCGCUGUGAAGAUGCAGUGUACCCGCGGCAAGACGGAAAGACCCCGUGAACCUUUACUAUAGCUUGACACUGAACACUGGUCCUUGAUGUGUAGGAUAGGUGGGAGGCUUUGAAGUGUGGACGCCAGUCUGCAUGGAGCCGUCCUUGAAAUACCACCCUUUAAUGGCUGGUGUUCUAACGUAGACCCGUAAUCCGGGUUGCGGACAGUGUCUGGUGGGUAGUUUGACUGGGGCGGUCUCCUCCCAAAGAGUAACGGAGGAGCACGAAGGUUAGCUAAUCCUGGUCGGACAUCAGGAGGUUAGUGCAAUGGCAUAAGCUAGCUUGACUGCGAGAGUGACGGCUCGAGCAGGUGCGAAAGCAGGUCAUAGUGAUCCGGUGGUUCUGAAUGGAAGGGCCAUCGCUCAACGGAUAAAAGGUACUCCGGGGAUAACAGGCUGAUACCGCCCAAGAGUUCAUAUCGACGGCGGUGUUUGGCACCUCGAUGUCGGCUCAUCACAUCCUGGGGCUGAAGUAGGUCCCAAGGGUAUGGCUGUUCGCCAUUUAAAGUGGUACGCGAGCUGGGUUUAGAACGUCGUGAGACAGUUCGGUCCCUAUCUGCCGUGGGCGCUGGAGAAUUGAGGGGGGCUGCUCCUAGUACGAGAGGACCGGAGUGGACGCAUCACUGGUGUUCGGGUUGUCAUGCCAAUGGCACUGCCCGGUAGCUAAAUGCGGAAAAGAUAAGUGCUGAAAGCAUCUAAGCACGAAACUUGCCCCGAGAUGAGUUCUCCCUGAGACUUUAAGUCUCCUGAAGGAACGUUGAAGACGACGACGUUGAUAGGUCGGGUGUGUAAGCGCAGCGAUGCGUUGAGCUAACCGAUACUAAUGAACCGUGAGGCUUAACCUUACAACGCCGAAG
rnacentral:rRNA from 2 species